UGGACAUCCCUGUCUUGUGCCAGUUCUUAGGGUGAAUUUUGCCAACCUUUGUCCAUUCAAUAUGAUGUUGGCUGUGGAUUUGUCAUAAAUGUAUUAUUUUGAGGUUUUGUUAUGACUGAUUUGAUUAGAAGUAACAGAUUGAGUCUGGUUGAGAAGAAAGAGAAAUUUAAUAUUGCCAUGCAAGAUUGUUGUAUCCUUGGAUCACAUACAAAAAAGUAAGAUAGAGCUCAAAACUGGAAUGUCACGAGUAUCAUAGAGACCCAUUUGUGUAGUCCCUAGAAAAGAGACUCUAUCUCUGCAUAUGGACCCUAUCUUUGUAUUUCUUAUAAAUCUUGUAUUUUCAUGGCUCAGUUUUUCUCAUCAACUGUGAAAUUGAAAUCUGCAAGUUUAUCUGAUUGAGAGCUUCAUGGUAUUAUGUAUUUCCUUCUGCUCAUUUGAACAUCUUCAAGUGGAGAGAAAUCUUCAAGAAUUCUUGAGAAAAACCUUUCUCCAGUUUCAAAAAU
rnacentral:lncRNA from 1 species